rnacentral:rRNA from 1 species
GAUGAACGCUGGCGGCGUGCCUAAUACAUGCAAGUCGAGCGAACAGAUGAGGAGCUUGCUCCUCUGACGUUAGCGGCGGACGGGUGAGUAACACGUGGAUAACCUACCUAUAAGACUGGGAUAACUUCGGGAAACCGGAGCUAAUACCGGAUAAUAUAUUGAACCGCAUGGUUCAAUAGUGAAAGACGGUUUUGCUGUCCUUUAUAGAUGGAUCCGCGCCGCAUUAGCUAGUUGGUAAGGUAACGGCUUACCAAGGCAACGAUGCGUAGCCGACCUGAGAGGGUGAUCGGCCACACUGGAACUGAGACACGGUCCAGACUCCUACGGGAGGCAGCAGUAGGGAAUCUUCCGCAAUGGGCGAAAGCCUGACGGAGCAACGCCGCGUGAGUGAUGAAGGUCUUCGAAUCGUAAAACUCUGUUAUUAGGGAAGAACAAAUGUGUAAGUAACUAUGCACGUCUUGACGGUACCUAAUCAGAAAGCCACGGCUAACUACGUG